rnacentral:rRNA from 1 species
UACGGAGGGUGCAAGCGUUAUCCGGAUUCACUGGGCUUAAAGGGUGCGUAGGUGGGCUGGUAAGUCAGUGGUGAAAUCUCCAGGCUUAACUUGGAAACUGCCAUUGAUACUAUCAGUCUUGAAUACCGUGGAGGUCAGCGGAAUAUGUCAUGUAGCGGUGAAAUGCUUAGAUAUGACAUAGAACACCAAUGGCGAAGGCAGCAGGCUACACGAAUAUUGACACUGAUGCACGAAAGCGUGGGGAGCAAACAGG